rnacentral:rRNA from 1 species
UACGUAGGGUGCAAGCGUUGCCCGGAUUUAUUGGGCGUAAAGGGCGCGCAGGCGGCUACGCACGUCCGUUGUGAAAUCGCUCGGCUCAACUGGGCGGGGUCAGCGGAUACGGCGUAGCUGGAGCAAGCUAGGGGGCAAUGGAAUUCCCGGUGUAGUGGUGAAAUGCGUAGAUAUCGGGAGGAACACCUGUGGCGAAAGCGGCUCUCUGGACCACAACUGACGCUGAGGCG